rnacentral:snRNA from 1 species
AUGGCUUUUUAAAUAUCACAUGUACUAAAAUUGGAACGAUACAGAGAAGAUUAGCAUGGCCCCUGUGCAAGGAUGACACGCAAAUUCGUGAAGCAUUCCAUAUUUUU